rnacentral:rRNA from 1 species
CCUACGGGAGACAGCAGUGAGGAAUAUUGGUCAAUGGGCGCGAGCCUGAACCAGCCAAGUAGCGUGAAGGAUGACUGCCCUACGGGUUGUAAACUUCUUUUAUAAAGGAAUAAAGUGAGGCGCGUGUGCCUUUUUGUAUGGACGUUAUGAAUAAGGAUAGGGUAACUCCGUGCCAGCAGCCGCGGUAAUACGGAGGUACCGAGCGUUAGCCGGCUUUAGUGGGUUUACAGGGAGCGUAGAUGGGGUGUGAAGUCAGUUGUGAAAGUUUGCGGCUCAACCGUACAAUUGCAAUUGAUACUGGCAGCCUUGAGUACAGUUGAGGUAGGCGGCAUUCGUGGUGUAGCGGU